rnacentral:lncRNA from 1 species
CGUCUUAUCAAGAUACUUACGAGAAUAUUUCUCGUAUCUUUCUCGUAAGUCUCUCGCAAGGUUCUCGUAAGUCUGGCAGGUGUCUUAUGAAAAUUAUCGUAGCUACGAUAUCGUAAGUUUCUACAUAAAAUCCUCGUAAGGUUACGAGAGGGUCAGGGGUCUCGUAAAUAUUUACGAUAUCGUAAAUAAAAUGGCGGCAUCCGUGUGAGCAACCACGACGAAACUUUCUGUCGAAAAUACUGCAGAUUGUUCAGCAGUAAAACUUGAUUUUCCGUGUACAUGUUGCACAACAGUGGAUGAACUACGUCAUCGAUCAUACAAAAGCACGCGCUUUGGGUCAGUGCGACACGAAGCGGAAGCGAGUGUAAAGGAAAUAUUGAGCACAUAAAUUCUGUUUGUCUUCGCUGUUUCCUGUGUUGACAGAUCAAUUGGAGGGACAUGCUGAAUGCCAGAAGAAAUUACAGACAACAAUACUGCUCAGUGCAGUAACCAGACCUGAAAAAAAACACUGCUCAAGGCAAACUUGGGACAGAGUGCUGCAUACAUGGGCUUAUGCACAAACUGAGAUUUUGCAAGUCAACUGUCAAAGUCAUAAAGAGAGAUCUAUAGUGGACAAUGUUGAACAGAGUUGAAGUCCUGGAAUCUCGGUCAACUGCAGAUAGCAGCAUGGCGUAAAGCAGACGUCUUGUUUCCCAGUCCAGUUUUAGUCAGGUAUUCUUGGUGGCAACACAGGUUUUUAGAGGUCUGCAAGUACAGAGUUUUAAAUUGUGAAACAAAACCUCUAACCAGAUCACAGAGUGUGUGUGUGUUAUGCUGUGCUGAGAUAUUGCUAUGACAUAUGGUGCAUUAAGGUCCAUAACCUGGUAUUAUAUGUGUUGACAACUGUACAAGACAUCCUAUUGAAGACAGUUGUGAGUGAGCAACAGCCCAAGACACCUUGUUAAUGCUGCCCUGUUACCUACUGAGUUUCUACAUACAAGUCAAGUAAGUACUUGCUAAACUGAAUUCAUUUGAAGCUUUUUUAGCUUGACUGUAUGAAGUAUAUGGAGGGCUGUCCUACUUGCCCUGGCAUCAGCAUCCAUGUCUACACCUGUUAGUACAAGGUGGAUUUUCUUCAAACUUAAAACCACAUCAUAUGACACAAGGGACAAAACUCUGGCACCAGUAUUCCAUGAAUUAUUCCCCUUUUGUACUAAAAAUUUCAGGUUAAAUUUUCAGUGCACUUUUCAUUCUAUUAAUUAUUAAUUGAUUAAAACUUGAAAUACAUUGCAGUUGUUCCACGUCAUCUCCCACAUCAAAAUGACACAAGGUUCCAAAAAAAUACACAAAUUUUUAAUGAAUUAUGCAAAAUUGUACUUACUUAAAGAAUGAAUCUGGGUCAUGUU